ACACCACACCACAUCAAUAUGGAUUAAGUUCCUCUCUCUCUCUCUCUCUCUCUCUCUCACAACGACUAUGGAAACACUAUUCGCAAUCUCGGCCGCUCGCAUUCCCACCACAAAAGCGUCGCCAAAGCAAUGGCGAUUUCCAUCCGUUCUCUCCGACAACACAAGUAGCAGAAAACCUUUCCUCUCUCUCCCUCACCCCUCCUUCAAACCUCCCACCAUCGUUUGUAUGGCUGAACCUUAUCUGAUAUCAAAGUUGGAUUCCGCCGAGAGAACAUGGAAAGAAUUAUCGGUCAAGCUGGCAGAUCCUGAUGUUGUCUCAAAUCCCUUUGAAUACCAAAAGCUUGCACAGUCUAUGGCAGAGCUUGAUGAGGUAGUGGCAACCUACAAGAAAUUCAAGGAUUGUGAGAGACAACUAGAAGAAACAAAAGCUUUAGCUAAAGAGGAUAGCAGUGACCAAGAUAUGGUUGAGAUGAUAGCUUAUGAAGUCGAAACUUUAUCUAAUCAACUCAAAGAGCUCGAGGAGAAGCUCAAGGUUCUAUUGCUUCCAAGUGAUCCUUUAGAUUCGCGGAAUAUCUUGCUCGAAGUGAGGGCUGGUACUGGGGGUGAUGAAGCAGGAAUAUGGGCUGGUGAUCUUGUACGCAUGUACCAGAGGUACAGCGAGCGUAAUUUCUGGAAGUUCACCACAAUUUCUAGUUCGGAGGCUGAAAAAGGUGGAUUCAAGACAUGCGUGAUGGAAAUUAAAGGUAGCCGUGUUUACAGUAAAUUGAAGUACGAGUCCGGUGUUCAUCGUGUUCAACGUGUACCUCAGACAGAAGCACAGGGCCGCGUUCAUACAUCGACUGCAACUGUAGCUAUCAUGCCAGAGGCUGAUGAAGUUGAGGUGGAAAUUGAUCCGAAAGACAUCGAGCUUACAACAGCAAGAUCUGGGGGUGCUGGAGGGCAGAAUGUCAACAAGGUGGAGACAGCUGUCGAUCUAUUUCAUAAACCAACAGGGAUCCGUAUUUUUUGUACUGAAGAAAGGACUCAGCUUAAAAAUAAGACUCGAGCACUACAAUUGCUGAGAGCAAAACUGUAUGAAAUCAAAUUGAGGGAGCAGCAAGAAUCAUUAAGAAAUCAGCGGAAGUUACAGGUUGGUACUGGUGCUCGUUCAGAAAAGAUUCGGACCUACAAUUACAAGGAUAAUAGGGUGACGGAUCACAGACUUAAGAUGAACUUUGAGCUCACAUCCUUUCUCUCAGGCGACAUUGAGACCGCUGUUGAGUCUUGUUCUGCCAUGGAGCAGAAGGAACUCUUGGAGGAACUUGCUGAAUCUGUUGGUGCAGCCACCACCUAAUAAUAUACCAGUUUAACUCUGUCGCCAAAUUUUCAGAGGGAAUUCAUUAAUUGGGGAUGAUGGUCAGAUCUCAUGAGUCACUCCGUAACAAAAUAUGACAAUGAUGAGUUGAGGACUAAAAACAGGGUCAUGGGUGCUUGUCUACAGGGUGACAGCAUUUUAAUUCUGAUUUGCAAUUUGGUGUGCUUCAAGCUGAACAAGUUUGCCUAUAUUAGAAUCAACUGUAUAAAACUGUACAUCAGGUCUGAAAUAUAACAGGUUAGGUCACUUUGGGAGAAAACGUAUUCAAGCAGGACUGCGAGUUUCUAAUGUAAUUUGCAGGUGCCAUUUGGAUAAUCAAUGCCCUAAGUGCUUGGGGGGCAUUUGUAUGCUCAAUUGAACUGAAUUGCAAUUUUCAUUGAAUUCAUUAUAGAGGACCAAAGUGGGUUGACUAGCUGGUGGCAAUGUUUCAAUUCAUAACUACAACACCUUCGAUUUUGAGAAGAGUUGAUCUCUUGAGAGCACAAUAUGAUGAAAGUUGUAAGCUGUGUUCAGGAGGGACUUAUUGUCUAUAUCGUUGGCCUCCAUGGUAGAAUUAAUUGGAAAAUGAAAAGAUUUGUAAAAGUUAUACCUUUCGCCACCACUUUGAGGAGAAUUUUUAGGUAUAUGUUAAUUUGAUUGGUGAAAUGGUUUCUC